rnacentral:rRNA from 1 species
UGAAAGGGGGCGCAAGCUCUUGCUAUUAGAUGAGCCUAAAUCAGAUUAGCUAGUUGGUGGGGUAAAGGCCCACCAAGGCGACGAUCUGUAACUGGUCUGAGAGGAUGAUCAGUCACACCGGAACUGAGACACGGUCCGGACUCCUACGGGAGGCAGCAGUGGGGAAUAUUGGACAAUGGGGGCAACCCUGAUCCAGCCAUGCCGCGUGUGUGAAGAAGGCCUUUUGGUUGUAAAGCACUUUAAGCAGGGAGGAGAGGCUAAUGGUUAAUACCCAUUAGAUUAGACGUUACCUGCAGAAUAAGCACCGGCUAACUCUGUGCCAGCAGCCGCGGUAAUACAGAGGGUGCGAGCGUUAAUCGGAAUUACUGGGCGUAAAGCGAGUGUAGGUGGCUCAUUAAGUCACAUGUGAAAUCCCCGGGCUUAACCUGGGAACUGCAUGUGAUACUGGUGGUGCUAGAAUAUGUGAGAGGGAAGUAGAAUUCCAGGUGUAGCGGUGAAAUGCGUAGAGAUCUGGAGGAAUACCGAUGGCGAAGGCAGCUUCCUGGCAUAAUAUUGACACUGAGAUUCGAAAGCGUGGGUAGCAAACAGGAUUAGAUACCCUGGUAGUCCACGCCGUAAACGAUGUCUACUAGCCGUUGGGGUCCUUGAGACUUUAGUGGCGCAGUU